rnacentral:miRNA from 1 species
AGGUUGUCCGUGGUGAGUU